GUGUCAGCCGCCGCGGUAAUACGGAGGGUGCAAGCGUUGUCCGGAUUUAUUGGGUUUAAAGGGUGCGUAGGCGGCUAAUUAAGUCAGCGGUGAAAUUCCACAGCUCAACUGUGGAACUGCCAUUGAUACUGGUUGGCUUGAGUACAGAUGAGGUAGGCGGAAUUGACAGUGUAGCGGUGAAAUGCUUAGAUAUUGUCAAGAACACCUAUUGCGAAGGCAGCUUACUAAGCUGUAACUGACGCUGAGGCACGAAAGCGUGGGGAUCAAACAGGAUUAGAAACCCGCGUAGUCC
rnacentral:rRNA from 1 species